rnacentral:rRNA from 1 species
AACGCGAAGAACCUUACCUGGGCUCGAAAUGUAGAGGACGACCACAGAGAUGUGGUUUCUCGAAAGGGUCUCUAUAUAGGUGCUGCAUGGCUGUCGUCAGCUCGUGCCGUGAGGUGUUUGGUUAAGUCCAGCAACGAGCGCAACCCUUAUCGUUAGUUGCCAACGCGUAAUGGCGGGAACUCUAACGAGACUGCCUAGGUUAACUAGGAGGAAGGUGAGGAUGACGUCAAGUCCGCAUGGCCUUUAUGUCCAGGGCUACACACGUGCUACAAUGGUCGGUACAGAAGGCAGCGAAACCGCAAGGUGAAGCAAAUCCCCAAAACCGAUCUCAGUUCAGAUUGUAGUCUGCAACUCGGCUACAUGAAGUUGGAAUUGCUAGUAAUGACGUGUCAGCAACAACGUCGUGAAUACGUUCCCGGGCCUUGUACACACCGAUACUC